AGCUUAAUAGUUUAAUAAAAUAUAUAUUUUGAAAAUAUAAGUAGAGGUUAACUCAUUUGCUUCACUU
rnacentral:tRNA from 1 species